UUACGUAACCUCGGUUACCUGUUAUUGAAAAAUAAUUCGUUAAUUAAAUGGCUUAUUUUAUUAUAAUCAUAUAAAUUUUAAAAAUGUACGUACUAAAUAAUCGUACAUUAUUACUGUUUAUUUGUAACGGCUGUUGCUAUCUGCAUCGCGCUGUACUUUGACAACUCUUUCUUGUCAAACGUAUACCGGUUGGCUGCGUCCCUUCCCCCCGCGGACCCUCUCUCCGCGCGGAGACGCGCCUCAGCCGAGCGGUCAGUCAGAUUUAGCUAUCAGUCGCCGGCGCACGCUCGCUUGCCUUGCGCAGUGACUAUCGUGUGGCCGGCGACAAAUGAUUAAUAUUUUAAUAGAUAUCUGUAUCGUUUAAUAUCUUCAAAUGUAAAUGAGUAGUGUUUAAAUCCCCAAUUGGGGUGCUAUGGUACGGGUGAUCACCGGCCAUGAGACCACCAUCACGCUGACUCCAAGGACCUGGUGCUGACCCUGGCAGUCACGGCUGACGUUCUUCAGCACUCCGUCACUUCACCUACAUAGCGGAGCCAGGGAAGUACUAGCGUGUGGGCUACAGCUGCUUUCUUAAUCCGGGAGUAAAAUUAAUCAGACGGUUAACGGACUUUGACCCUUCGACGAUUGUUUCGAAUGCUUGCGACGGUUUAAGCGGAAUAAAUUUGUGAAGUGAGA
rnacentral:lncRNA from 1 species